rnacentral:rRNA from 1 species
CCUACGGGGGGCAGCAGUGGGGAAUAUUGGACAAUGGGCGAAAGCCUGAUCCAGCCAUGCCGCAUGUGUGAAGAAGGCCUUCGGGUUGUAAAGCACUUUCAGUGGGGAAGAAAGCCUUGGGGCUAAUACCCUCGAGGAAGGACAUCACCCACAGAAGAAGCACCGGCUAACUCCGUGCCAGCAGCCGCGGUAAUACGGAGGGUGCGAGCGUUAAUCGGAAUUACUGGGCGUAAAGCGCGCGUAGGCGGUCUGAUAAGCCGGUUGUGAAAGCCCCGGGCUCAACCUGGGAACGGCAUCCGGAACUGUCAGGCUAGAGUGCAGGAGAGGAAGGUAGAAUUCCCGGUGUAGCGGUGAAAUGCGUAGAGAUCGGGAGGAAUACCAGUGGCGAAGGCGGCCUUCUGGACUGACACUGACGCUGAGGUGCGAAAGCGUGGGUAGCAAACAGGAUUAGAUACCCGUGUAGUC